rnacentral:rRNA from 1 species
UACGGGGGGGGCAAGCGUUGUUCGGAAUUACUGGGCGUAAAGGGCUCGUAGGCGGCCAACUAAGUCGGACGUGAAAUCCCCAGGCUCAACCUGGGAACUGCGUCCGAUACUGGAUGGCUUGAAUCCGGGAGAGGGAUGCAGAAUUCCAGGUGUAUCGGUGAAAUGCGUAGAUAUCUGGAGGAAUACCGGUGGCGAAGGCGGCAUCCUGGACCGGCAUUGACGCUGAGGAGCGAAAGCGUGGGGAGCAAACGGG